rnacentral:rRNA from 1 species
GGCCGGUAUUCGGUGUCUAGUCGGUCACCCAUUUGACCCGUCUUGAAACACGGACCAAGGAGUUUAAGGUUUGCGCGAGUCAUUGGGUGUGAAACUCAAAGGCGAAAUGAAAGUGGGACACUUGGUGUCUGUGAUGCGAUCCGUGCAUGAUUCGUUGUGUGCGGAGCAGCAUCGACCCAUGACCAGAACUUGUUCUGUUGUGGAGUCUGAGCGUAAGCUUUGAGACCCGAAAGAUGGUGAACUAUGCCUGAACAGGACGAAGUCAGAGGAAACUCUGAUGGAAGUCCGAAGCGGUUCUGACGUGCAAAUCGAUCGUCUGAUUUGGGUAUAGGGGCGCAAGACUAAUCAACUAAUC